UACAGAGGUGGCAAGCGUUGUUCGGAAUUACUGGGCGUAAAGGGCGCGUAGGCGGCCUUCUAAGUCAGACGUGAAAUCCCCCCGGCUUAACCUGGGAACUGCGUCUGAUACUGGAGGGCUUGAGUGCGGGAGAGGGAUGCGGAAUUCCAGGUGUAGCGGUGAAAUGCGUAGAUAUCUGGAGGAACACCGGUGGCGAAGGCGGCAUCCUGGACCAAUUCUGACGCUGAUGAGCGAAAGCCAGGGGAGCAAACGGG
rnacentral:rRNA from 1 species